rnacentral:rRNA from 1 species
CUACGGGUGGCAGCAGUGAGGAAUAUUGGUCAAUGGGCGCGAGCCUGAACCAGCCAAGUCGCGUGAGGGAAGACGGUCCUAUGGAUUGUAAACCUCUUUUGUCGGGGAGCAAAAGACGCCACGCGUGGCGUUCCGAGAGUACCCGAAGAAAAAGCAUCGGCUAACUCCGUGCCAGCAGCCGCGGUAAUACGGGGGAUGCGAGCGUUAUCCGGAUUUAUUGGGUUUAAAGGGUGCGCAGGCGGAAGAUCAAGUCAGCGGUAAAAUUGAUAGGCUCAACCUCUUCGAGCCGUUGAAACUGGUUGUCUUGAGUGAGUGAGAAGUAUGCGGAAGGCGUGGUGUAGCGGUGAAAUGCAUAGAUAUCACGCAGAACUCCGAUUGCGAAGGCAGCAUACCGGCGCUCAACUGACGCUCAUGCACGAAAGUGUGGGUAUCGAACAGGAUUAGAUACCCUAGUAGUC